GUUGAUUUGCUGAUGUGUUGAUGUGUUGACGUUCUCGUUGUGAGCUCGGCCAGUUAGUAAGAGCGUGAUUUUAAUGGCGAAUUAGUUAGUUUCUCAAACUAUUAUUUAUACUCAUGGCGCAAGAGAGGAAAUGCUCAGCGAUAUUACAGGUGCAUAAAUGGUUGUUGUGUAGCGCAGAUUGGACGGUAUACUUUUAGAUCGAGACGCGGACCUAUUUGGUAUACGUUGUUGGAGCACUCAAGCGAGAGAUAAAUCGAACUGGAGACAAAUAUUACAGGAAGCUAAGACUCAAACCGGGUUGUUGAGCUAAAAAUAAUGAUGAUCAUGUUGUAUAGCAGCCAGAAACCUGAAUUACUUUUACAAAAAAAGUGUAUUUGCAUAUCUAUCUCGUUCCUAUCCCUUAAAGCACACUACACUUUUGAUGUAAUAAAAUAAAAAAAAAACUUUC